GACGGGGGCCCGCACAAGCGGUGGAGCAUGUGGUUAAUUCGAAGCAACGCGAAGAACCUUACCAGGCCUUGACAUCCAAUUGACCAUCUUUUAAUCGAGAUUUGCCUUCGGGUACAAUUGAGACAGGUGGUGCAUGGUUGUCGUCAGCUCGUGUCGUGAGAUGUUGGGUUAAGUCCCGCAACGAGCGCAACCCUUGUGUUUAGUUGACAAACAGGUCAAGCUGUGCACUCUAGACAGACUGCCGUGGACAACACGGAGGAAGGUGGGGAUGACGUCAAAUCAUCAUGCCCCUUAUGAUCUGGGCUACACACGUGCUACAAUGGCCGGUACAACGGGCAGCGAAGGAGCGAUCCGGAGCGAAUCCUAAAAAGCCGGUCCCAGUUCGGAUUGCAGGCUGAAACUCGCCUACAUGAAGUUGGAGUUGCUAGUAAUCGCGAAUCAGAAUGUCGCGGUGAAUGCGUUCCCGGGUCUU
rnacentral:rRNA from 1 species